UGACAGUCAACAGUCUGCUGCGGCACAGCCAAGUACAAGACGCUCAAACGCGUUUGUCGUUAUUUGUUCACCACCAACAAAAGACUUCAGAUGCUUUAAAACAAUAUGCCGAAAACCAAUGAACUACAGCAGUCGGUCUGACCUUGCAGUCUCAUUUCAACUCACCAAAAUCUCCUCAUGGUCCAUUCGCUGUCCACUGUGUACAUGUGCCAAAAAAACAAUUUUGGUGUUCCAACACAGCUUUGGCUCUUUAAACGGGAAAUAAACGAGUGGCUCAGAGCAACUAUUCCAGCCAAUCAGCAACAGGGGGUGUUCAUGCUCGAACACAGGACAAGGGAAAGAAGAAGAGAUGGGAAAAGUGGGAAGUAGGAGCAAAAGACUGUAGAUCUGGUACAUGCUAACGGAUAGUGCCAAUUUAAGGAUCAUCAGGGGAAGACGAAGGAGCAGUCUACCGUCUGUCACCAUCAGACCGUAUGGAGUUUUGAAUGGGAUUGAUCGGAACUGCAGACCAGUGACGGAUGGUGACGUGACGGCGGCGUAUACUCCACAACUUACUUGCAAUGUCAAGAAGGAGUCAUGGCCAAGGAACAGCCAAAGAGGAGAAGGUCAGAGGAAUACAAGUUGAAAAGGAAGUGCCAUGAUCAGGCAAGGGCAAAGAGCCUUGCUCGUGUGACUUUCCAAUCGUGGAGAAGGAAUGGUUGAACUGGGAUAGAAAUUCACUUAUGGACUUAUCUGCUGUGACUGGCCCACACCCUGAAUGACAGGCACACAGAGAGGGCUGGUAAAGAGACUGACGAAGCCAGUCAAAACUUUAAAAACUUUUGUCCCGUUGGUAAAGUUUGUGAUAGCUAAUCCCAACUGGUUACUUAGCAAGCAUGUAACGGUAUCACAUUUGUGUGUCUAGUAACGUAAAAUUACUUGCCCACGAAUGUUCGACUUAUUGUCUAGUUUGAGAAAAUGUGUUGUUGAUGUGAUGUUAGCUUUUAGAAGAGUUGUUAGUAUCACUGUCUGCAGCUAGUGUGCUGUUCAUUGGAAACUGUUGCGUCCUUGCAACUGUAGCGACAGUUUGUUGUCUGGUUGUUUUGCUCUGUCCGCACAAUGUGCAAAUGGUUUUCUAGCCAUGAAAAUUCAAGUUUGCCAGCACAAUGGAUUUAUUUGGUUGGAUGCAUACGUUGAAAUCCUAUGCCAGAUAAUAUCUCUGUCACUCUUGUUUUCUAGGCAAUUAACCUCUGGUAAUUUUAUUCCAUUGUGCUUUGAAUGUUGUGUUUGUGUGCAUGUCGUUUGUUGUUGUAAUGACAUAUUAUAUUACACAGUUUAUUUUGCUUCAGCAAAGACGAUCUGGAUUUCCACAAUGCCGUUACCUUGACAAUGUACGUCCAUGAAUUAGAGGGGUUGAGUUUCUGAAGGAGCACUGAAGGGAAGGGUGUAUUUGUUUUGCUGCUGUUGAGUUCAAAUAACAACAGUAUUUCUCCGGAGUGGCUUCCUCCAUCUUUAAAGCAAAUAAGAUGCACUUGAUCACAAUGUGGAGUGCCACUGCAAAGGGUCAGAAUACUUUUGCAAGUAAAAAAUUUAAGUUUGUUGGUUUUUUAUCCAUUUAUGAUUAAAUCUACAACACAAUAAAGUAUGUAAAAAGUGAA